CAGCAGCCGCGGUAAUACCGGCGGCCCGAGUGGCGGUCACUAUUAUUGGGCUUAAAGCGUCCGUAGCCGGGUUGGGAAGUCCUCCGGGAAAUCUGGCCGCUUAACGGUCAGAAUGCCGGAGGAUACUCCCAGCCUAGGGAGCGGGAGAGGCCGAGGGUAUUCUCGGAGUAGGGGUGAAAUCCUAUAAUCCCGGGAGGACCACCUGUGGCGAAGGCGCUCGGCUGGAACGCGUCCGACGGGGAGGGACGAAGGCCAGGGGAGCAAACCGGAUUAGAUACCCGGGUAGUCCUGGCUGUAAACGAUGCGGACUUUGUGUCGGACAAGCUAUGAGCUUGUCCGGUGCCGGAGGGAAACCGUUAAGUCCGCCGCCUGGGGAGUACGGCCGCAAGGCUGAAACUUAAAGGAAUUGGCGGG
rnacentral:rRNA from 1 species